AUUGAACGCUGGCGGCAGGCCUAACACAUGCAAGUCGGUCGAGCGUCGGACGGGUUAGUAAUUUAUGGGGAUCUGCCUGAUGGAGGGGGAUAACUACUGGAAACGGUAGCUAAUACCGCAUACCAUCAGAUGUACCCAUAUGGGAUUAGCUUGUAGGUGAGGUAACGGCUCACCUAGGCGACGAUCCCUAGCUGGUCUGAGAGGAUGAUCAGCCACGCUGGGACUGAGACGCGGCCCAGACUCCUACGUGAGGCAGCAGGGGGGAAUAUUGCACGAUGGGCGCAAGCCUGAUGCAGCCAUGCCGCGUGUAUGAAGAAGGCCUUCGGGUUGUAAAGUACUUUCAGUCGGGAAGCGUUGCCAACAGAAGAAACAACGGCUAACUCCGUGCCAGCAGCCGCGGUAAUAC
rnacentral:rRNA from 1 species